rnacentral:rRNA from 1 species
UACGGGGGGGGCAAGCGUUGUUCGGAAUUACUGGGCGUAAAGGGCGCGUAGGCGGCUUUUCAAGUCGGGCGUGAAAGCUCCGGGCUUAACCCGGAAAUGUCGCUCGAUACUGUUGAGCUAGAGUGUGGAAGAGGCUACUGGAAUUCCGUGUGCAGCGGUGAAAUGCGUAGAUAUACGGAGGAACACCAGCGGCGAAGGCGGGUAGCUGGGCCAACACUGGCGCUGAGGCGCGAAAGCUAGGGGAGCAAACGGG